GAAAGAUAGAGAUGGCAGCGGCGGAUUCUCCAAACGCCAACACUGAUACCAAAUUUGUAGGGACCAAUCAGAAUCCUAACCCUAAUUCUUCAAAUGCGUUAGUUCCCGAGUCUUGAGUCUAGCUCUCCUGCUGUUUGCCUCUUCCGCUUCGCAGGCGACUCCGCUGGUGGCGCCUUUAUGGGCUCCAUCUUCGGCUACGGUUCUGGAUUGAUUAAAAAGAAAG
rnacentral:misc_RNA from 1 species